AAAUUAAUCUAACAAUGGCUCCGUGUCCUGCACUCAUAGACGCUGUUGCUGAACCAUUCACUUAUUGAGGCUGAAUUUUCUCCAAGAGUGUAUGAUAAACUUCUUAGUAUAAUGAAUCUCAAUAUCAUUUUGUUGGUUACCGUCUUCAUAUUGGGUGUGCUCCAAUGUCGGGCUGAAGAUGAGAAGCAACCUAAUAAAAACCCAAAGAAACGUUCUCCUUUGGAGGAUCUUCAGAAAGGGUGCUUCUGGAUGGGCUGCACAGGAGCGAAGUAAAAUAAAGCACGCAUGAACAUAAUUAUAUGAAGAAAAUAAUUAUAAAAACUUCAUGAUAAAUCCAAUAAAUGAAUUUUAUAGUUGAACGAAUACUAUGAUUUUGUAUAGUUAUUCCUGACGAAAAGCCAAUAUCAACCCGCUUCGAAAUACAGGCGCCGAACGAAUCAAUUUUCAAUAGCGAGAAAAAGUCGAACGCAGUUUGAUUGGGAACAAAUCGAAUAGGUAAUUCCAAGUACCUACACAGUCAAAUUAUCUCGAUUGGUAUACAACAUUAUGGGUCUAAUAUCAAAAGUUUGGUUUUGAUUUAUUUGACGAGAAAAAUAAAACAAAUAUAUUAGCCAUUGAGCAUCCAAGAAUGGCACACAAAUCUUGCAA